AUGAACGCUGGCGGCGUGCCUAAUACCUGCAAGUCGCGCGAACAGACGAGGAGCUUGCUCCUCUGACGUUAGCGGCGGACGGGUGAGUAACACGUGGAUAACCUACCUAUAAGACUGGGAUAACUUCGGGAGACCGGAGCUAAUACCGGAUAAUAUAUUGAACCGCAUGGUUCAAUAGUGAAAGACGGUUUUGCUGUCACUUAUAGAUGGAUCCGCGCCGCAUUAGCUAGUUGGUAAGGUAACGGCUUACCAAGGCAACGAUGCGUAGCCGACCUGAGAGGGUGAUCGGCCACACUGGAACUGAGACACGGUCCAGACUCCUACGGGAGGCAGCAGUAGGGAAUCUUCCGCAAUGGGCGAAAGCCUGACGGAGCAACGCCGCGUGAGUGAUGAAGGUCUUCGGAUCGUAAAACUCUGUUAUUAGGGAAGAACAAAUGUGUAAGUAACUAUGCACGUCUUGACGGUACCUAAUCAGAAAGCCACGGCUAACUACGUG
rnacentral:rRNA from 1 species